GAUUAAGAUUUUGUAUUGCUCAAUUUAAGUUCAAUAAGUAACAUAGAUCACAAAGUUUGCUAAUUUAUAUUGAUGCUUUAAGACUCCUUACAUGACGUUUCCGCAACACACCCGAGGUCAAAGUUCGUAUAUAUUAAAAUGCAACAAUGUGUAUAGUUCGUUAUUGAGGAUAAUGUAUAGAUUAUUUUACAUAGGGAAAGAUAUUUAUACGCUAUAGUUAAUUGUAACUGUUUAAUUUCAACUUAUGUUUACAUUAAAUGACAUCCUUAAGCCAACUUUACUAAUAUUGAUCGCUAUUUUCGUGUUAUACAUCUAUAAUCAUCUUGUUGUUAAAGAUUUGAAGCUUUGCUGCGAUAAUACAGCAGAGAAUUAUUCUCAUUAUGAUUUGGUCGUUGGAAUACUUUCAUCGCGCGGCAACUUUGAUUUGAGGCAAAGUUUACGUGAAUCAUGGGUUGGCUAUGCAAGACGACAUUCAUCUCUAAAUAAAAGAGUGUUGGUGAAGUUCAUCGUUUCAAAUAAUGCAUGUUACGUUCCUCCAGAGUUCAGGAUUGAUCCUUACAAAUGCGAGAGAAAGAAAAUCGAAUCUCCAAACUACGAAAAUGAAGUAAUUGCUUACAAACGACCAAAUGAAGAAAAUUUGAGAUAUUUUCACAGUGGAUCUAUCGGAUGGGACUUUGAUAUCAUCCGUCCCAUUAUUUUGACUCGUCUUGGCAUCUCUUUAUCAUCGUUGAAUUCAAAAAGAAACUCUUCUGUUCGACUCUACGACAGAACAACUAAGAGCGAAAUUAUAUCUGUUUAUUUCUCUUUCCAAGACCCUGGUACAACAGAAAACGGUUCGUCGUUUAAAGCAAUUGAAAACUUUAUUUUGCCAAAGGACUUCAAGGGCAGCGUCGUGUCUGAAAACGUAAAAUGUUCAAGUUCUCGAUGCAGAAAAUGCGAGUAUUUUGCCAACAUUGAAAACGGAGAGGAUUAUUUCAAUGUACACAAGAUAAGACGGAUUAACAACGAGUUCGCCGUCUUUCCCGAAGUCGAGGAAUCAAUUCCUGAUGCUAGAUGCGUGGAUGGGGCUGGAACGUUCAUGUAUCGACUUUACAGGUGGUUUCUUGCAAUGAAGUGCAAAGUACACAUGCAUGUACGUAAUAAAUUGGAUGGCUGUCUCUAUGCGAUCAAAAGAAGUCAUAUGAAUCCGAAAAGUUAACUGUUUAACCGUAAAAUCACUCGAAAUGUAAAGUUACUUUCUAGAUUGAACCGUGAAAAUAAGCAAUCCAGUAUCAGACUCUCUUAAAUUAUUUGCUGAAAAUGAAAUGAUGCUUACCGUAUCAUGGCAAUGAUAGCGAGACGAAACUUGGCGUAAGUUAUUUCCUUUGGGAAAUUCAAACUACCUGAAGACACUUGCCUUUGUACAUAUGCAACAUAAUAUUUGUACAUAGGUAAACUGAACAAGAAUAAAAA